AGCGGAUGAGCCACCAGUGGCUGUGGUUCAGGGGGCGUGGCUUUGUCUUUUCCGCGGCGCCGGCGGCAAUCCCUGUGCUCAAAGGAUUCUGGGUACUGUGGUCCUGGUCCCUUGGAAAGCAGGGCAGUGAUGGGUGCUGGCCCACCCAGCCUUUGGCCCUGUGGCGGGACAGAGUGCCAGUGUCGAAUAAGCUUGGAAAGUGCACCUAGUCCUGAUGGAUGUAUAUACGGUACAGUGCUAUUAACAGGAACCCAGGUUGAGAUGCGGGGCAAGGACUUGCAUUUGUGGAGUGGCUUCAGGAUGAGGAGUCCAUGAAGAGGCUUCUUCCAUCUUGAAAAAAGGGGGCCAGUGGCUGCUCACUCAGAGUCAUUCCCUGGAAGUGUUGGUUCAUUGGAAGAUAUCCUGGAGGUCUCCAUGUUGCCAUGUUACCCAACCCUCUGCUCUUUGAUGCUGAUCAACAGUAACAGCAGAAUUCCCAAACUGUGAGAUGCUCUUACUAGGAUUAAAACCUCUCCACUUAUAAAGUAGUCAUGGAUGUCACACCCAGACUUAUUGUUGCAUCUGAAGAUUCUAUGAGGAGAAGACUCCCAUUUCAAGGUGAGAGCCUGCUUGGAGAAUUUAAUGAAGACUGGCUUCUUUCACUUAGCAAUAUUAACUUAAGCUUCAUCCAUUUUUUUGUUUGGCUUGCUGGCCUUAAAAAAAUUGCUAAAUAUGGAUGUACCAGUUUACUUAUCAUUUACCUAUUGAAGGACAUGUUGCUUACUUCUAGUUUUGGGUGAUUAACAAUAAAAGCUCGUAUCAACAA